CAGGAUCCUCUGAGGAACUGUUGUUCCCCCAAGGGACUCUAAAGCAGGCUGCAUGCUUCAUUGGCUCUGGCGUUAAGUCCCUGGUACUUCUGGGCUUAGGUAUGUGUUGCUCCACCCUGCGCCUCUGUCUUCACGUCACCUUCCCUUCUCUGCAUCUGUCUCCUUCUCUUUAUGAAGCCUCCUGUCAUUGGAUUUAGAGCCCACCCUAAUCCAGGAAGAUCUCAUCUCAAGAUUCUUAAUUGCAUCUGCAAAGACCCUUUUUCCGAACAAGAUCCCGUUCACAGGCUCUGGGCGGGCAUAUCUUUUAGAGGCCACCAUUCAACCCACUACAGCCUGCAUGGGAGACUGAGAAAUGACAGGCUUUUGGGGACAAUUUACACUUUUAAGCCACAUAUUAUAGUACCAGCUUUCCUGCCGCAGGUGGGGCUGGGAGUCUGGGUCUCUCAUGCCCACAUGGGGCCCAGCCAGAACUUGGCCUACUGAACAAACUACAAAAAUCUCUCUUCUUGUUUCAAUGGAUAAUGCACCUCCCUUGAAGAUCCAUCCUUUAUUUGUCCUUCAGUGGCACCCCAUGGCAAUUGUUCUGAAGUAUUUACUGACAAAAUAUCCCUGCCUGUUGGUUCAUCUUCCAGCUUGUCUCCAUAAGUGACAAUGAUUUGGGUGAGCCAGGGUGGAUUUCUGCAGGCUCCUGGACUCAAGCCUUCCUGAACUCAUCCCCUCACUCUCUCUCCCAAUCUCAGCCUGUGCAUUUAGGUCCUGCCCUGGAAUAUGGUGGGCACGGCCUGACGACUGGAUUGUCCAACAAAACACAGAAAGUGUAGACAAGAGAACAGCAGAAAGUGACGCCUGCAGCCACAGAGAUGUGCUCCCAGUCUCCCUCUUUUCUGACUGCUGGGGGUGCACACCACAGCGAGGCCCAAGGGCUGUGAUGGAGGCCUAGGAUGGAAGGUGGCUGGUCCCUGAAUUACUUCUAGGAGAGGCACCAUCUGCUGAGCAGGAACCCCUGCCUGGGACAGUUGCAAGAACAAGAAAUCAGCUCCUUUUGUGCCAGAACCAGUAUGCAUGUUGAGGUCCAAUCCUACAGUUAGUGAUGUGGUAACAGAAAUGAGCUUUGUGCUUCCAUGCCCUGGGCAACUGCAGGCAGCUGAGGCCCCCAUCUGCAGGUGGUCUCUGCAGGCAGAGGGUUUCUGGUGAAGGGCCCUAUGGGGUUUCUGAUGAGGGCCCCACAGAAACCAGAAUCUCUUCCCUGCUGCUUAUUUCAAAUUCUGCUCGGUUGUCCCUUCCAGGCCAGGCGGGUAAUCUUGCUUGUGGCCACACUCCUCUUCCUGGGACCUGAGCCUGCCCUCCUGCUCCUGAGUAGUUCAUUGUGAUGCUGUCUGCUGUGGCUGUGGAGUGCUACGCGCUGGCCAGCCUGAGGGCGACCUGUACCGCCUUGGCCAAACCCUUUACCCCACUGAGAGAUACCUCCCUCAUCUGCAGCGAGAGUCCCUACCUUGUAGGGCAGUGUGAAGGAUGUCCUGAGAUGGUCAGGACUUAGCACCCUGUAAGCACAAGAGCUGUUCUUGGUGGCGUUAUGAUCACACCCACAGAUAGGGCCUCAGGCAGGCCUCAGUGUCCUCCUGGCUGGCCACGUGCUACGGAUGUCCCCAUGCACUUGAUGUGUCAGCAGCAGAAGGACCUUCAGGAGGAGGCAACGAUGGGAUGAGACGAGGCUCAAAGGAGGAUGUUGCCGCGCAGAGACGUUUCGGGAAUAUGAGGCAGGUCACCACCUAUGAUUCUUGUGGUAGUGGAGGAAUGGUGGCGGCUGUCAUUGUGACACCCACUUUAGAGACAGGAAACUGAGCUUCAGAGAGGGGGAGUCCAGGCCCCACAGCACACAGCCAGGAAAGGGCCGGGCAGAAGGGGCUUUGGGUUUUAACCUAACUCACCCCGACUGCCUGCUUCUUCACCCAGCCAUCAUGGAACGUCUCUGUGCCUCUUCCCUGCUCUCGUGGAGGCCUGGGUCAGGCAGCUGCCCAGAGGCAGACGUGCACUGUGACCCUAGAAGACUGUUCCAGACAGGCCAGCCCAGGCAGAGACAAAACAGGGACCUGCUCCUCAUUGGUGUCACGACCAAAUGCAGGGGAUUUGCUAAGGGAGGCGCAGCCAUGAAUUGGGAGCCAGCUUCGUGCUCUGCCACUCCUUCUUGCUAAUCCCUCGAAAAUCCAAUCAGAGCUGUUUCCCUCCAUGAAACCAACUGGACACAGCACAUACUGGCCGGACCUCUGCCAGCAUGGAGUGGAUCUUUUUUCUGUUUAAAGAACCAGGUUUCAAAUGUUCUUAAUAAAACGUUUAUAUAUAUCAUGCAGGGUGCAAAUAAAUAUUUUAAUAUAAUUGGAAGAAUGUAGAGAAUUGUAAAAAGUUAUGGAAGUUUUACUUCUGAUUGGCCAAGACUCAAUAAACUCUGGUUUGAUGUACUCUAAUUUAUAGGCGUGCAAAGCCAACUCUUUGGCAUCAGAGAGGCCGUUAACGUUGUAAUGAUGUUUAAACGCUGACAAAUGAGCUGCUUGGGCGGCACCUUCAGCCCUGAGAAUGGAACUGUUGGAGCUGGAGGACUUGCCUGUCCCCAGCUUUCUCCCUUCCUCCCGUGCUGGUGGAGCAGGUUAAGGGCAGGAGGACUGUUCAUUGGGGCGACUGCUCCCCAUCGGUUGAGGGGAGGGCACAAAGGGGACCCAUGGCUUCUUUUUCACUGUUGUCCCUAAUUAUGGUCUUUCUCAUUAAAAUAACAAGGACCAUUUCUGCUAGAAACGCUGACACAUGUUUUUACUUUUCUGGGCCGAUGGAAACCACAUGUAGAAUCCAUUCCUUCCUUUUUUCCCUCCAAAAUGCAAAUGGAAGAGCUGGUCCAGGGGGUCCCCGGUUGCCCAGCCCUGAACAGAGGCUUGGGGAAGCCCCCUACUCCCACG
rnacentral:lncRNA from 1 species